rnacentral:lncRNA from 1 species
CGCCGCCCGCCGCCCUCCCGCCCCUGCGUGCGGGGCCCGCUGGCCGGCUCUCGCAGUCUCCGCGCCACCCCCGCGGGGACCCCGAAUCUCUCCGGUCUCCGCGGCGGUGUAGGUCGGUGCUGAAGGGGGUGCUCUGGGCGGCGGGCCCAACUCCUGCAGCUCCGCCGGCCGCCACUGGGGGCUGCCGCGCGGGCGAGCUCGGCGGGGACAGUGCGCACGGCCCGGGGUUCCCGGGCACCUCCGGCCGCUGGGCUUUCUCCGCCGCCGGCCCCGCGCUGCCUCCGCAGCCAGCCCGGCUCCCUCCCGGAUCUAAUAAGCCGCUCAGGGAUCUCCCCGCGUGGACGUCCGAGGCCACCAUCUGCCUGCUUUCGCCGGAGCCAGAGGGGUUAGCUCGAGCCUGUCUCGGGCGGGGAAGGAUGCGUGGCCGAGCCGGGGAGCCCGGGCGCCCCGCGGAGCCGGCCUCGGAGCCUCCCAGCCGUGGGUAGAUGCUGCCUUGCCCAGACUCAGCUGAAGGUCACACGUGAUCUACACACCUGCAGACCAUAGUGGUGGUGAUGAUGGUGGUGGGGAUGAAGACCGCUUGAGAAAUGUUCCUGAACACUGGAAAAAAAAGAAAAAAAAGAAAAAAAACAAUGUUCUCUCAUGCUGCUUUCCCAGACCCCUCCUCCGUCCCAUUACUAAGCUGACAUCUUACCGUCUUACCCAAAUGUAAACUGACCGGAUGAAGAGAUUUGGGGGCUGUAGUCCCCAUUUAGGGGCCGCUGACCCUAAAGAAACUAUGUAAUCUUCCUUCUGGCCUGGUUACUUGCAUCACGGGGGCUGAGCUGGCGAGAAGGGGAAGCGAGGAGAGGACUUAGAAUAAACAUAAUUCCCGGACCCUCUGUCUAGGCACGGAUUCUAAGCACAUGACAGAUGCGGGCCAUCACACUGUGGGGAGGACGGUUGCCCAGCCUUCGACUGCUGGCAGGAAGGAGCACAGGGGGGUUGCAAAUAGGCCGGGCAGGUUCCUGACACUUGAGAAGCCUUCUCUAAUGGGGAAAGGCCUGCUCCUUGUCCUGGGGCAGCUUAUGUCAAAGAGGAGGACGCAGCAGAUAAGCAUGGCACGUUAUGUGGGAACAAUUAGACACCAAACCACAGAGACGCA